rnacentral:rRNA from 1 species
UACGUAGGGCGCAAGCGUUUAUCCGGAAUUAUUGGGCGUAAAGAGCUCGUAGGCGGUUUGUCGCGUCUGCCGUGAAAGUCCGGGGCUCAACUCCGGAUCUGCGGUGGGUACGGGCAGACUAGAGUGAUGUAGGGGAGACUGGAAUUCCUGGUGUAGCGGUGAAAUGCGUAGAUAUCGAGAGGAACACCUGCGGCGAAGGCGGGUAGCUGGGCCGACACUGACGCUGAUGCGCGAAAGCCAGGGGAGCGAACGGG